CCCAGACUACUUAUUUGUUUUUUUUUCAAAUACCUGGCAAAUGAUUAUAAAAAUAUGUAUUGGUUUUAAAUUAAAUAAGUAAAAAAAAAUACUGUCCGCGAUCAGUUUGUUCGAUCCAAAAAAAAAAGCCAACACAGGAUCUGGACCUAUGUCGCCCUGUGCAAUUGAUUAAGUUAUCAUGUAUACCAGAGCAUGAGUGAUUAUUUUCAG
rnacentral:lncRNA from 1 species